rnacentral:lncRNA from 1 species
CACUAGCUUUUAUUUGUCUUUUGUUUCUCCAACUUAAGACUUUUAUGUUAAAUUCCGAAUUAUGUUUUAUCGAGCUUAAACUCUCAACUUCUAGCUCUAUGUUAUUUAACGUUGGUUAUCGGAAGCAUGAAACCGAACUUGUGAUCCUAAGGCUUAGAAUGUUGUUGAUUGAUUAGUAUCACCUGAUUUUUGUCUUUCUUCACUCAA